GUGCCAGCAGCCGCGGUAAUUCCAGCUCCAAUAGCGUAUAUUAAAGUUGUUGUGGUUAAAAAGCUCGUAGUUGAACCUUGGGCCUGGCUGGCCGGUCCGCCUCACCGCGUGCACUGGUCCGGCCGGGCCUUUCCCUCUGUGGAACCCCAUACCCUUCACUGGGCGUGGCGGGGAAACAGGACAUUUACUUUGAAAAAAUUAGAGUGCUCCAGGCAGGCCUAUGCUCGAAUACAUUAGCAUGGAAUAAUAAAAUAGGACGCGCGGUUCUAUUUUGUUGGUUUAUAGGACCGCCGUAAUGAUUAAUAGGGACAGUCGGGGGCAUCAGUAUUCAACUGUCAGAGGUGAAAUUCUUGGAUCAGUUGAAGACUAACUACUGCGAAAGCAUUUGCCAAGGAUGUUUUCAUUAAUCAGGAACGAAAGUUAGGGGAUCGAAGACGAUCAGAUACCGUCGUAGUCUUAACCAUAAACUAUGCCGACUAGGGAUCGGACGGUGUUAUUCAUGACCCGUUCGGCACCUUACGAGAAAUCAAAGUGCUUGGGCUCCAGGGGGAGUAUGGUCGCAAGGCUGAAACUUAAAGAAAUUGACGGAAGGGCACCACCAGGGGUGGAGCCUGCGGCUUAAUUUGACUCAACACGGGGAAACUCACCAGGUCCAGACACAAUAAGGAUUGACAGAUUGAGAGCUCUUUCUUGAUUUUGUGGUGUGUGCAUGGCCGUUCUUAGUUGGUGGGGUGACUUGUCUGCUUAAUUGCGAAUAACGAACGAGACCUUAAUCUUGCUAAU
rnacentral:rRNA from 1 species